ensembl:snRNA U6 U6 spliceosomal RNA
GUGCCAGCUCCACAGCACACGUACUGAAACUGGAAUGACAUCGAGGUUAGCAAGGCCCGUGAGCAAAGAUGACACGCUAAUCUGUGAAGCAUUCGUAUGUUUA